CGGGGCGUAGCGCAGUUGGUAGCGCGCGUGCUUUGGGAGCAUGAGGUCGCUAGUUCGAAUCUAGUCGCCCCGA
rnacentral:tRNA from 1 species